rnacentral:rRNA from 1 species
GAUGAACGCUGGCGGCGUGCCUAAUACAUGCAAGUCGAGCGAACGGACGAGAAGCUUGCUUUUCUGAUGUUAGCGGCGGACGGGUGAGUAACACGUGGAUAACCUACCUAUAAGACUGGGAUAACUUCGGGAAACCGGAGCUAAUACCGGAUAAUAUUUUGAACCGCAUGGUUCAAAAGUGAAAGACGGUCUUGCUGUCACUUAUAGAUGGAUCCGCGCUGCAUUAGCUAGUUGGUAAGGUAACGGCUUACCAAGGCAACGAUGCAUAGCCGACCUGAGAGGGUGAUGUGGCACAGGGGAACUGAGACACGGUGGAGACUCCUACGAGAGGCAGCAGUAGGGAAUCGUACGCAAUGGGCGAAAGACUGACAGAGCAACGGCGCGUGAGUGAGUAAAGUAUUAAGAGCGGAAAACCGUGUUAUUAGGGAAGAAAAUAAGUGUAAGUACCUGUGCACAUCUAGACGGUACCUAAUCAGAGGGCCAGGGCUAACUACGUG